rnacentral:lncRNA from 1 species
CCCCCAGUAGUUCCAGCAUUGCUGGCAAUGAAAUCUAAAUAUUUUUGAUAAUCUGCAAAUGAAGGUCUAGUACUAGAUGAGGAUCCUUCAUCAAGAAAUCUAUUUUGAGUAGGAAUAUUCCCCAAUGUCUGGAAUCUGUUUGGAGUAAAUCCUCUGCCUCUCCCCGAAGAGGCUCUUGGCCAGCUUGGCCUGAUUCUGCAAAACUGG